rnacentral:rRNA from 1 species
AUUAGGCAAAUCCGGUACUCGUUAAGGCUGAGCUGUGAUGGGGAGAAGACAUUGUGUCUUCGAGUCGUUGAUUUCACACUGCCGAGAAAAGCCUCUAGAUAGAAAAUAGGUGCCCGUACCGCAAACCGACACAGGUAGUCAAGAUGAGAAUUCUAAGGUGAGCGAGCGAACUCUCGUUAAGGAACUCGGCAAAAUGACCCCGUAACUUCGGGAGAAGGGGUGCUCUUUAGGGUUAACGCCCAGAAGAGCCGCAGUGAAUAGGCCCAAGCGACUGUUUAUCAAAAACACAGGUCUCUGCUAAACCGUAAGGUGAUGUAUAGGGGCUGACGCCUGCCCGGUGCUGGAAGGUUAAGAGGAGUGGUUAGCUUCUGCGAAGCUACGAAUCGAAGCCCCAGUAAACGGCGGCCGUAACUAUAACGGUCCUAAGGUAGCGAAAUUCCUUGUCGGGUAAGUUCCGACCCGCACGAAAGGCGUAACGAUUUGGGCACUGUCUCAACGAGAGACUCGGUGAAAUCAUAGUACCUGUGAAGAUGCAGGUUACCCGCGACAGGACGGAAAGACCCCGUGGAGCUUUACUGUAGCCUGAUAUUGAAAUUCGGCACAGCUUGUACAGGAUAGGUAGGAGCCUUUGAAACGUGAGCGCUAGCUUACGUGGAGGCGCUGGUGGGAUACUACCCUAGCUGUGUUGGCUUUCUAACCCGCACCACUUAUCGUGGUGGGAGACAGUGUCAGGCGGGCAGUUUGACUGGGGCGGUCGCCUCCUAAAAGGUAACGGAGGCGCUCAAAGGUUCCCUCAGAAUGGUUGGAAAUCAUUCAUAGAGUGUAAAGGCAUAAGGGAGCUUGACUGCGAGACCUACAAGUCGAGCAGGGUCGAAAGACGGACUUAGUGAUCCGGUGGUUCCGCAUGGAAGGGCCAUCGCUCAACGGAUAAAAGCUACCCCGGGGAUAACAGGCUUAUCUCCCCCAAGAGUUCACAUCGACGGGGAGGUUUGGCACCUCGAUGUCGGCUCAUCGCAUCCUGGGGCUGUAGUCGGUCCCAAGGGUUGGGCUGUUCGCCCAUUAAAGCGGUACGCGAGCUGGGUUCAGAACGUCGUGAGACAGUUCGGUCCCUAUCCGUCGUGGGCGUAGGAAAUUUGAGAGGAGCUGUCCUUAGUACGAGAGGACCGGGAUGGACAUACCUCUGGUGUACCAGUUGUCGUGCCAACGGCAUAGCUGGGUAGCUAUGUGUGGACGGGAUAAGUGCUGAAAGCAUCUAAGCAUGAAGCCCCCCUCAAGAUGAGAUUUCCCAACUUCGGUUAUAAGAUCCCUCAAAGAUGAUGAGGUUAAUAGGUUCGAGGUGGAAGCAUGGUGACAUGUGGAGCUGACGAAUACUAAUCGAUCGAAGACUUAAUCAA